UACAGAGGGGGCAAGCGUUAUUCGGAAUUAUUGGGCGUAAAGCGCACGUAGGCGGCUUUGCAAGUCGGAUGUGAAAUCCCUCGGCUCAACCAAGGAAGUGCAUCCGAAACUGCAGAGCUUGAGUACCAAAGAGGAUCGCGGAAUUCCCGGUGUAGAGGUGAAAUUCGUAGAUAUCGGGAGGAACACCAGUGGCGAAGGCGGCGAUCUGGGUGGAUACUGACGCUGAGGUGCGAAAGCGUGGGGAGCAAACAGG
rnacentral:rRNA from 1 species